AAAGACGGAAGCCGGCGAGGGACGUGCAGCAUUUGUUGCGAGCUUCGCCUUUUCUCUAUGGGGAUUCGAGUGGGGAUUGCUUCCCGGUAACCAUGGAGGAUGAUGCUCCCGUGAUUUAUGGGCUCGAGUUCCAGGCACGAGCUUUAACACCCCAGACUGCAGAAACAGAUGCAAUACGGUUUCUGGUUGGAACACAGUCUCUGAAAUAUGAUAAUCAGAUCCACAUCAUUGAUUUUGAUGAUGAAAAUAAUAUUAUCAACAAAAAUGUUCUUCUUCAUCAAGUUGGUGAAAUUUGGCACAUAAGUGCCAGUCCGGCUGAUAAAGGGGUACUAGCAACCUGCUACAAUAAAACUUCAGACAGUAAAGUCAUGACAUGUGCGUCUGUUUGGAGGAUGCCGAAGGAAUUGGAAUCAGGCAGUCAUGAAUCCCCUGAUGAUUCAUCAAGCAACGCUCAAACCCUGGAGCUGCUCUGUCACCUUGACAACACAGCCUAUGGCAAUAUGGCCGGUGUUGCUUGGGAGCCAAUGGGAGAUGGUAAAAAGCUAAUUUCUCUGGCCGAUAACCAUUUGCUUCUGUGGGAUUUGCAAGAAAGUUCAAGUAGAGCAGUGCUGUCAAAUUCAGUUGCAUUGGAAGGAAAAGGACAGUUAAAGUUUACCUCUGGGAGAUGGAGUCCACACCAUAAUUGCACACAGGUUGCUACAGCAAAUGAUACAGCCAUUCGAGGAUGGGACAUAAGAACCAUGAACCAAAUAUAUUGUAUUGAAAAUGCUCAUGGACAGCUGGUCCGGGACCUGGAUUUUAAUCCCAACAAACAGUACUAUCUGGCUAGUUGUGGAGACGACUGUAAGGUGAAAUUUUGGGACACCAGAAACGUCAACGAGCCAGUGAAGACACUAGAGGAGCAUUCCCACUGGGUUUGGAACGUCCGCUACAACCAUUCCCAUGACCAACUCGUGCUUACGGGCAGUAGUGACAGCAGAGUCAUUCUGUCCAACAUGGUUUCAAUUUCUUCUGAACCUUUUGGGCAUCUGGUAGAUGAUGAUGAACUCAGCGACCAGGAGGACCACAGUCAGGAAGACAACUGCUCCUCAACCUUUUAAUGUCAGACUGACCAAGAGAAGAACACAGGAUCUGACAGAAGGAGACAAAAGAAGCAAAGGUGGCGAGGCUGGUGAUGGAGAAACCCGUGAAAAUACCCUGAAGGAAUUAAGUGCAGUGUGGAAGACGGUGACUCAUAUCUCUGCAGUGAUCCUUCAGUAAAAGGUGAAUGCUUUUUAGAAGGACAUUUUAAUACCUAAUGGGUAGUUGAAGACAAUGCUAUGUUUCCAUAUUUGGAUGCUAUUUCUGGUGAAGGAGGAGUGUAAUACAGACAUACUUCAAUUAUCAAAGUCUCUGAGAAAGGGCCCCCAGGAGGAGGAAGGGCUGCUAACCAGCGUCUCAGAGCAUGUGCAAGUGACAGAGGAUAUGGGAGCCUGUGGCAUUCGGAGUUGCCCACCACCUGCUGGGAUCCACUUACAAAGCUGCAAACACAUGGGAAGACUGCCGCUCUUGCUGACACAUCGCAGGAGGACCAAGCGGAGGCUGUCGCUCCCAGUCAACUUGAGUUCUGCUAUAAUGAACAAAAAUUACAGUUCAAACAUGAACCUCUGAAGUGUUUGAGAAAGGGGCUGGCAGUUCUUAGUCUUGAAAUAUCUUCUUGUGCUAUAAUGUGAUUUUUAGACAUUUUUUUCUUUUUUAAGGGAACAAAUAAAAUCCUAACUAAACACUCAA